UGUUAGCUUAUGCUAUGUGCUGUAUGCUAAAUGUGUUAGCUCGAUAUGCUACCUAGCUACCUUUUGUAAUACAUACAUUUCAUUUUAUUGAAUCUCUUUAUUUUUUUUCUCUUUCUACCCCGUUCUCACGGGCCGCUCUGGCCUAGGAAUGAACAUUUUUAAACCAGGACCUGGUGCCUCGCGUCCAUUAUUUGAGGGAGCUACAGACUAAAUUCUCCACUGAGACUGAACCAGUAGAGAAGUUGAACCUGGAGCAGACUGAGGAGGACUUUGCGGUGCACGAAACUCAGAAUGACGAAUGGUUAUGCACCUCUUUGAUGCCAGCGAAGGGGGAGAGACCAAAAGAGGAAUAGGGAAGGAUGAGGAGAAGAGAGGAAAGGAGGGAAAGACGAAAGAAAUACAAAGAGACACAGGAAUGAGUGAGCCAAAUCCCUCAUAACCAUGUAUUACUGAUGUGUGGCAAUGUGCAGGAAAGAGUUUUCAUCAACACUGUUGAUAGUAAGCACAGCCUCAUUCGAACGCACAAAGAGCACUUUGCAUUGGCAGACAUUAUCAACACUGCUCGUAGUUCAACAAAGACUGCAAUGAAAAGAGAAAACCAUGGAUUUAACAAUAAAAGCUGCCAGUAAUUAGUUCCAAUUUCCUCUUUAACAACAGUGUCCCUCAUUGACAUCACGGUCAAUUAAAAGCAAAAGGGCUGCAUAUUUCCACACAGUAAAUGUGGUAUUUGUGGUGGGUGUUUGGAGUGGAGGAGGGGAUGUUUUGAAUAAACAUAGCUGAAUAAAUGAUCUGCAUAUACACAUCUGAGAGUGAGGAGAGAUAUGAGCAGAAAGUUCUGGAUUGUAUAGAGAAAGGAUAAAAGAUGGGCAGAUGAUGAUUUCAUGGUGGCUUUGCAUUAUAAUUAUAAGAUUUAAGCAUU